ACAUAUAACAAGCUUCUGCGUGAAUCCAACCCCAUCAAAUCACCGUUGCAUUGCUACAAUAUCGUUAAUUACGAAUCUGGAGCCACUCAGAUUAUUGAAAAAGAUGGUGUUAGAUUCACGCACAAGCUCGCUAUAUGUCU
rfam:Nelumbo nucifera unplaced genomic scaffold scaffold00025, whole genome shotgun sequence